rnacentral:rRNA from 1 species
CCUACGGGAGGCAGCAGUGGGGGAUAUUGCACAAUGGGGGGAACCCUGAUGCAGCGACGCCGCGUGGGUGAAGAAGCGCCUCGGCGCGUAAAGCCCUGUCAGCAGGGAAGAAAAUGACGGUACCUGAAGAAGAAGCCCCGGCUAACUACGUGCCAGCAGCCGCGGUAAUACGUAGGGGGCAAGCGUUAUCCGGAUUUACUGGGUGUAAAGGGGGCGCAGACGGCGUUGCAAGCCAGGAGUGAAAGCCCGGGGCUCAACCCCGGGACUGCUCUUGGAACUGCGUGGCUGGAGUGCAGGAGGGGUAGGCGGAAUUCCUGGUGUAGCGGUGAAAUGCGUAGAUAUCAGGAGGAACACCGGUGGCGAAGGUGGCCUGCUGGACUGCAACUGACGUUGAGGCCCGAAAGCGUGGGGAGCAAACAGGAUUAGAUACCCGAGUAGUC